GACGAACGCUGGCGGCGCGCUUAACACAUGCAAGUCGAACGGAAAGGCCUGCUUUCCCUUGUGGAUUGCGGGUACUCGAGUUGCGAACGGGUGAGUAACACUUGAGUGAUCUUCCCCCAACUUUGGUAUAAGCCUGGGAAACUGGGUCUAAUUCCCGAUAGGACUGCAGGGUGGUUCCUGUGGUGGAAAACGAUUUUCUAGUGGUUGGGGAUGAGCUCGCGGCCUAUCAGCUUGUUGGUGGGGUAAUGGCCUACCAAGGCGGCGACGGGUAGCCGGCCUGAGAGGGUGGACGGGCACAUGGGGACUGAGAUACGGGCAAGAAUCCUACGGGAGGCAGCAGUGGGGAAUAAUGAACAAUGGGCGGAAGCCUGAUGCAGCGACGCCGCGUGGGGGAUGACGGCCUUCGGGUUGUAAACUCCUUUCGACCGCGAGGAAGCCACAUGGUUGGAAGGGUGGUGACGGUAGUGGUAGAAGAAGCACCGGCUAACUACGUG
rnacentral:rRNA from 1 species